GGAGGGUGCGAGCGUUAAUCGGAAUUACUGGGCGUAAAGCGCGCGUAGGCGGCUUGGUCAGUCGGAUGUGAAAGCCCCGGGCUUAACCUGGGAAUUGCAUCCGAUACUGCCAGACUAGAGUAUGGGAGAGGGAAGCGGAAUUUCCGGUGUAGCGGUGAAAUGCGUAGAUAUCGGAAGGAACACCAGUGGCGAAGGCGGCUUCCUGGCCCAAUACUGACGCUGAGGUGCGAAAGCGUGGGGAGCAAACAGGGAUUAGAUACCCUGGUAGUCCACGCCGUAAACGAUGAGAACUAGAUGUCGGGAGGAUUUGCCUCUCGGUGUCGCAGCUAACGCGUUAAGUUCUCCGCCUGGGGAGUACGCCGGCAACGGUA
rnacentral:rRNA from 1 species